UAAUACGUAGGUGGCAAGCGUUGUCCGGAUUUAUUGGGUUUAAAGGGUGCGUAGGCGGCCUUAUAAGUCAGUGCUGAAAUAUCCCGGCUUAACCGGGAGGGUGGCAUUGAUACUGUAGGGCUUGAGUGAAGUCGAAGUAGGCGGAAUUGACGGUGUAGCGGUGAAAUGCUUAGAUAUCGUCAAGAACACCGAUAGUGAAGACAGCUUACUAGACUUCAACUGACGCUGAGGCACGAAAGUGUGGGGAUCAAACAGGAUUAGAUACCCUGGUAGUCCACACUGUAAACGUUGAUGACUCGCUGUGUGCGAUAUACAGUACGCGGCUUAGCGAAAGCGAUAAGUCAUCCACCUGGGGAGUACGCCGGCAACGGUG
rnacentral:rRNA from 1 species